AGUGAACGCUGGCGGUAGGCCUAACACAUGCAAGUCGAACGGCAGCGCAGUAAGAGCUUGCUCUUACGGGUGGCGAGUGGCGGACGGGUGAGGAAUACAUCGGAAUCUACUUUUUCGUGGGGGAUAACGUAGGGAAACUUACGCUAAUACCGCAUACGACCUACGGGUGAAAGCAGGGGAUCUUCGGACCUUUCGCGAUUGAAUGAGCCGAUGUCGGAUUAGCUAGUUGGCGGGGUAAAGGCCCACCAAGGCGACGAUCCGUAGCUGGUCUGAGAGGAUGAUCAGCCACACUGGAACUGAGACACGGUCCAGACUCCUACGGGAGGCAGCAGUGGGGAAUAUUGGACAAUGGGCGCAAGCCUGAUCCAGCCAUACCGCGUGGGUGAAGAAGGCCUUCGGGUUGUAAAGCCCUUUUGUUGGGAAAGAAAAGCAGCAGGUUAAUACCCCGCUGUUCUGACGGUACCCAAAGAAUAAGCACCGGCUAACUUCGUG
rnacentral:rRNA from 1 species